UUUCCAAGACAUCAAAUCACUUGGAAUCGUCGCCUGUAUAGGAACCAGCAUGACUACUUACAUGCCUCUUUAGUUUCGUCAUCAUUGCUGGUUUUUAAAGUGGCAAUCAAUUGACAUAAAAAUCGCUUUGCGUAUUCCCAGACUUCCAAUCGUCAUUAAAUGUUGAUAAUCAUCACCUCUCAUCGAGUCAGUCGAACAGCCGUAAACCACAUGCAUUCCAAAUCCAAAGCAUAUUAUCUGAAUAGUCGUGCCAAUAUGUUUCUGUUCUGACCGCAGAAGAAGACGCAAAAAUCCAUUGUCACACUAAGAUUUCUUGUCCACGAACGAAGUGUCGUCACCAAUUUCACCAUGACUACUGUAUCGUCCACUGACUCCAGCCCGGAACCACCCAGAUUCAUGGGAUCAACAAGAAGCUACAAAUUUGUGGCAGCAUUCCACAAUGACAGGAUAAACAAACAUGCGGAUGACCUCUAAGAACAAAAAGAAAGUAUGUGUGGACCGUUGAAAUUAUAGAAAGUAUGAUCCCUGCCACUCAACCAAUGGUACUUCCGCCAAGUGCUAUGCCUUAUCUUGAUACCUCAAUUCAAUAUAUGAUAGUUGUGACAAAGAAUUAGUGUCUUCAAUGGAACCUAAGCGUUAACCAUUCUAACCGUUCUCAACCAUGCAUUACUACAGCAUGGUAUGAAUUUUUAAGGAAUUGAAACUACAGGCCCGGAGAUGAAAUAUGCUUUUAUUUUAUAACUUUUCAAAAUGUAUGGGAAUUAGUUAUUAGGAAAGAUCAACAAUGAAUGCGAUGUUCAUAUAUGAAAUAGGUAAUUAUAAUGAACCACUAACAUAAAUCUACCAAUUCUC